rnacentral:rRNA from 1 species
GAUGAACGCUGACAGAAUGCUUAACACAUGCAAGUCUACUUGAAUUUGGGUUUUUUAACUUAGAUUUGGGUGGCGGACGGGUGAGUAACGCGUAAAGAACUUGCCUCACAGCUAGGGACAACAUUUGGAAACGAAUGCUAAUACCUGAUAUUAUGAUUAUAAGGCAUCUUAGAAUUAUGAAAGCUAUAUGCGCUGUGAGAGAGCUUUGCGUCCCAUUAGCUAGUUGGAGAGGUAACGGCUCACCAAGGCGAUGAUGGGUAGCCGGCCUGAGAGGGUGAACGGCCACAAGGGGACUGGGACACGGCCCUUACUCCUACGGGAGGCAGCAGUGGGGAAUAUUGGACAAUGGACCAAGAGUCUGAUCCAGCAAUUCUGUGUGCACGAUGACGUUUCUCGGAAUGUAAAGUGCUUUCAGUUGGGAAGAAAAAAAUGACGGCACCAACAGAAGAAGUGACGGCUAAAUACGUG